rnacentral:rRNA from 1 species
AGAGUUUGAUCCUGGCUCAGAACGAACGCUGGCGGGAGGGGAAGCAUGCAAGUCGAACGGGGCAUUCUUUGUAGCAAUAAAAAGGAUGUUCAGUGGCGUAAGGGUGCGUAACACGUGGGCAACCUGCCCGAGAGUUGGGGAUAGCCCGCCGAAAGGCGGAUUAAUACCGAAUGUGGCGAAGGGUGACAUCACUCUGUAGCUAAAGCCGGGGCAACCUGGCGCUCUUGGAUGGGCCCGCGGCCUAUCAGCUAGUUGGUGAGGUAACGGCUCACCAAGGCUAUGACGGGUAGCUGGUCUGAGAGGACGACCAGCCACACUGGAACUGAGACACGGUCCAGACACCUACGGGUGGCAGCAGUCGAGAAUUUUUCUCAAUGUUUUUUUUUUCUGAAGGAGCGACGCCGCGUGGGGGAUGAAUGGCUUCGGCCCGCCCCCCCCUGUCAUUUGCGAACAAACCUAUUCAGAUAACACCUGAAGAGCUGAUUGUAGCGAAGGAGGAAGGGACGGCUAACUCUGUGCCAGCAGCCGCGGUAAUACAGAGGUCCCGAGCGUUGUUCGGAUUCACUGGGCGUAAAGGGUGCGUAGGUGGUUGGGUAAGUUUGAUGUGAAAGCUCUGGGCUCAACCCAGAAAUGGCAUUGAAUACUAUCCAACUAGAGGAGUGGAGGGGGGACUGGAAUACUUGGUGUAGCAGUG